rnacentral:rRNA from 1 species
UACAGAGGCCUCGAGCGUUAGGCGGAAUCACUGGGCUUAAAGCGUGUGUAGGCGGAUCGUUAAGUACCUUGUGAAAUCCCACGGCUCAACCGUGGAACUGCUGGGUAUACUGGCGAUCUUGAGCCACCUAGGGGCGAGCGGAACAAGCGGUGGAGCGGUGAAAUGCGUAGAUAUCGCUUGGAACGCCAAUGGUGAAAACAGCUCGCUGGGGGUGUGCUGACGCUGAGACACGAAAGCCAGGGGAGCGAACGGG